CCUACGGGAGGCAGCAGUGGGGAAUAUUGGGCAAUGGGCGCAAGCCUGACCCAGCAACGUCGCGUGAAGGAAGAAUGCUCUCUGGUUGUUAACUUCUUUUUUCAGGGACGAAGCAAGUGACGGUACCUGAGGAUUAAGCGACGGCUAACUAUGUGCCAGCAGCCGCGGGAAUACGUAGGUGGCAAUCGUUCUCCGGAUUUACUGGGUGUAAAGGGCGUGUAGGUGUGAAUGCAAGUCAGAUGUGAAAACCACGGGCUCAACCUUUGUCCUGCAUUUGAAACUGUAGUUCUUGAGUACUGGAGAGGCAGGCGGAAUUCGUGGUGUAGCGGUGAAAUGCGUAGAUAUUAGGAAGAACCCCGGUGGCGAAGGCAGUCUGCUGGACAGCAACUGACGCUGAGGCGCGAAAGCGUGGGGAGCAAACAGGAUUAGAUACCCUAGUAGUC
rnacentral:rRNA from 1 species